rnacentral:rRNA from 1 species
GAUGAACGCUAGCUACAGGCUUAACACAUGCAAGUCGAGGGGAAACGGCAUUGAGUGCUUGCACUCUUUGGACGUCGACCGGCGCACGGGUGAGUAACGCGUAUCCAACCUUCCCAUUACUGUGGGAUAACCUGCCGAAAGGCAGACUAAUACCGCAUAGUCUUCGAUGACGGCAUCAGAUUUGAAGUAAAGAUUUAUCGGUAAUGGAUGGGGAUGCGUCUGAUUAGCUUGUUGGCGGGGUAACGGCCCACCAAGGCUACGAUCAGUAGGGGUUCUGAGAGGAAGGUCCCCCACAUUGGAACUGAGACACGGUCCAAACUCCUACGGGAGGCAGCAGUGAGGAAUAUUGGUCAAUGGACGGAAGUCUGAACCAGCCAAGUAGCGUGCAGGAUGACGGCCCUAUGGGUUGUAAACUGCCUUUGUAUGGGGAUAAAGUUAGGGACGUGUCCCUAUUUGCAGGUACCAUACGAAUAAGGACCGGCUAAUUCCGUGCCAGCAGCCGCGGUAAUACGGAAGGUCCAGGCGUUAUCCGGAUUUAUUGGGUUUAAAGGGAGCGUAGGCUGGAGAUUAAGUGUGUUGUGAAAUGUAGACGCUCAACGUCUGAAUUGCAGCGCAUACUGGUUUCCUUGAGUGCGCACAACGUUGGCGGAAUUCGUCGUGUAGCGGUGAAAUGCUUAGAUAUGACGAAGAACUCCGAUUGCGAAGGCAGCUGACGGGAGCGCAACUGACGCUUAAGCUCGAAGGUGCGGGUAUCAAACAGG